rnacentral:lncRNA from 1 species
GAGUGAAGGCUGUGGGCCCUUCUGUAAUCAGGGGCCAGAGGUUUCUAGAUCUCCAAGCUCUGGUUCCAUGAGGUGUGCCGAGCACCCACCCAUCUAUCAGGAUUCCUAUAGCCCAGUGAGGCCAUAGAGAUCCACUCAAGCCAGUGUCUGGAGGAAAAGGGUUUAGUUCUGGGUAGGUGAGGGGAGGAGCAGAUAAGCCGAGAAGAGCAGAGCCUCAGGAGGAGGUGCUAGAGACCCUAGAGUGGGCCGUGUGCAUGUCACCUCCAUUCUGGGAGGUGAGAAGGCAGUGCGGGAGUCUCCUGAAUGUCCAAGAGAAUGGCCAUGCUUACUCCUGGGAGCUGCUCCUCCCGCUUCCCCACCAUCAAGGGAAUUCCAGAUGUGAGAGAAUUCCACCGUCCUUCUUGGAUGCUGUCCAGGGUGUUCUGAAGAGUAGCCCUAUGGAUAGAGAGCCCUCCUUCAGGCAAUCUGGGGAGCGCACACCCUUUGUCAGAACUUUCCAGGGGCCGGUGGCAGUGAAUGGCUGAUGUACAGGCUCUACUGCUGCCACCCUAGUGACUAAGCAGUGCUAUUUCUUUAUUUUGUUUUUUGUUUGUUUAUUUGUGGGGGUUUUUGUUUGUUUGUUUUUGUUUUGCUUUUUUAGAGCCACACCUGCGCGGCAUAUGGAGGUUCCCAGACUAGGGGCCAAAUCGGAGCUGCAGCUGCCGGGUAACACCACACCACAGCAAUGCCAGAUCUGAGCCGAAUCUUCGACCUACACAACAGCUCACAGCAAUGCCAGAUCCUUAACCAACUGAGCAAGGUCAGGGAUUGAACCUGAGUCCCCAUAGAUAUUAAUCAGGUUUGUAACCUAUUGAGCCACAAUGGGAAUUUCUAGCAGUGUUAUUUCUGAGCCUCAGUUUCCCCAUCCCUCACAGGGCCUCCCAAGGGAAGACAUCUGGAGAACUGGACUGUCUGUUCUGCCCUGCCCCCUCCCAUCCCUGCCUCUGUGGGAACUCCAGGCCCCAGAUGUGGGGUGAUGCUCUGACAAGGAACAUCUGUUGAGGAAGCUGACCCCUGGGGUUGGGGAUGAUGGCAGCCCUCUGGCGGCUCAGGGUUGAUAUAGGGCAGCAUCACUGCCUGGGGAGUGAUGUCCAGCCUCUCGAGGUCUGGAACUUGGGAAUAGUCAGACCCUUCCCUAAGGCAGGUCAUUCAGGGGUCUCAGGGCCGAGGAGUUGGAAUCUUCGAGUAUAUUAGUGGGCACGAGGGGGGUUCGGGAUGGGGCAUUAUACACCACUCACGCAAUGUGAACUCAGGCUCCGACUGUAGAAACAGCAGGGGUGGGAGGUGAGAGGGAUCUGUUUCUUUCGCAGGCCCUGUGGCUCCAACCCUCCAGUAGAAACCCAAACAGAAAGAGGCAGCUCUCACUCAGUUGAUCUGAUCCAGGGAGCCCCUGAGAUUCUGCCCAGACACAAACACCUGCAACAGGAUCUCAGCAUCCUGCCGGUAAGACCCUUUCCCCACCCCACGCCGUUCAGGUUUCAUGCAGGACCCACUUCCGUCCCCUCAGACCAGAGGAGACAACUGAGGAAGACGUAGGCCUCAUGAAGGACCCGAAGCCGAAAGUAGGUAGCAAUACUGGACAAAGCGUCGUGGACCCCUAUCCCCCAGCUCUGGGAAGCCCCUGGAGCCAUUUGAACUUGGGGUGGAGGCUUGGGGCAGGAGGGGCGGGGCCAAUUAGUGAAGGGGCGGAACCAGAGGUAGAGGGUAGUCGGAGUCUGGAACUGGGCGGGGGGAGAGGUAGAAAUGGGCGGGGCUUAUCCUUAGAGACCGAGACUGCCGGGGAAGAGCAGGGAAAACAAAGCUUUAAGGCUAGUCGGACAGAGGGAGGGGACCGUGAACGGAGAGGGCGUGGUCAGGACCGAGAAGCUAGGUCUAUCCAGCUGAACAGCUGAAAUGCGGGCAAAGCCGCAGCUGUGAUUCUGAACACCGAGGCCUGCAGCGCCAGCAUAAAGGUGCCCAGGCGGCAACGCGGGCUCGGAGGACGUAGCCCAAAGACCCGCAGAUCCAUCAAGGGUCAGUCUAGAAAGUGCUUCUGCAACUGUGGACAGGUGGGCUGCUUCAAAACUGAUGCCAAACCAGGACUGCCACGGGGACGGUCACUAAUGACGGGUUUCCCGAUCCUAGGAACGACCCGUAGCGUGGUCAGCCAGUGGACGCCCUCAGCUAGAUUUCACUGAGACAGGGCGGGAUCGGUGGCCUGGAAGAUGGAAACUUCUUUCCAGCAGGUUUGAUAUAUCUACACCACCACAUCAGGGGCACAAAAUGAACGAAGCCAGAGGUGUUCAGCCGGAAGAGGAAUUCCCUGCAGAGAGGAAUUCCCUCUCGCUGUCACUCAUGGCCCCUGAGUCCUACCCACAAGUGGUCCUUAUUCUAGGUCUCGCCACCUGCCUCUUACUACAUCACCUACGUCCUGUGUCUCCUCCCUCCUUCCCCGUCCUCGAGCUGCCAGUCAUCCUUCCCCGGCCCCUGCGGACAGUCAUUGAGUCCCCUUCCCACUGGGCUCUCCUAGCAGCCUAGCAUCCGCCAUCUCCAGCCCUACCUUAGUCCGGUUGGUUAUCGCUGGCCACGCCCCGCUCGCCUAGCUGAGCCCGCCCACCGGCCCCGCCCCCACCCUGAGGCUCCUCCUCAAACGCUCUGCCCGCGGCCCGCCCCUUGCCCUGUCCCUCACUCCAGCGCUGCCUUCACAAGACACGCUAAACCCUCGCCCUGGCUCCAGCCUCACCCUUUCGGCCAUCUGGGGUGCCGUCCCCUCCCUAGCCCUGACCUCACUGUCAUCCUGCUCACCCCUGCACGCUCCAGCCGAGCCCCCACCCUGUCACCCAAGUCCAGCCCCCGCAGGCAGAGCUCCCUUCCCCCUAGAUCCACCCAAAGUCCUGCCAUUCCUCUCCCGCCCGCGCCACGUCCAGCCUCGCCGCAGCUGCCACGCAGGCCCGCCCCCUCCGGCCAGCUCAGGUCAGUGAGGGUGAGGGUGACCUCACCACGUGGUCAGUGAGGGUGCCAGCCGGAACCCCCAAGUUGCUGGCUGCUGCGGAGGCAGAGAAGGCGAAGGCGUUCCCCUAGCGGGGCAUGUCCGUGUGGCCAGCACGUCCUGACCACAGGAAGGGCACGGAGCGGCCAGAGGGGUAUUCGAACUCUCCUCAAGCCGAGUUGGGAGAAGGGAGCUGGGGGUGGGGGUUCUUCAGAACUUGCUGCAUCAGAUCCCCAGGGCCUGAGGCCUAGACUUCAUCACCACCACCCCCGACCUGGGCAGAGGUAUUCCAACGACAUGUAAAGGACUCUCCGGGUUAAUAUCAGGGGCAGUGAAGAUGAGCCCCUGGAAGGUCCAUAUCUAGGAUUCAGCUCCAUCCUCUGCUGGUUUCAGAUCCUCUAGGAAGUAGCCUCAGUUUCCACAUUCCUAUAAUGUCAAUCACACCCAGGCACUGCUGGGGGCCAGGAGGGUGAAUGCAGUGGUCAAGCCAGGAUUCUAUGAGAGGUGCCCACAGUAGUGAUGUAUUCCAGCCCAGGGACUGAAUUCACGCUGCAGUUGCAACCUGUGCCAGUGCGGCAACACCAAGUCCUUAACCCACUAGCCACAAGGGAACUUCCAAGACUCAUUUAUUCCCUCUCGCAUGUUUCCAUGCGAAGAAGGCUUUACUAGAGCAAUACACCUCACUUCUCACUUGCAGACUUAAACUAUAAUCUACAAACAAGCUUAUCAAUAAUCAUGGCCUUAGCGAUAUCUCCAGUUCCACAUGUUCUUUUCACAAUGUGAUCUUGACAUGCCUGCCAUCAAAGGGUGGCAGCCAUCUCCCCAUUCCUUCAACCAGAGUGCACUUUUGUGACAGCCUUAAACAUAGGACAUUGUGGAGUUCCCUCGUGGCUCAGCAGGUUAAGGGUCCAGCGUUGUCACUGCUGUGGCACAGGACACAGCUGUGGUGUGGGUUCCAUCCCUGGCCCUGGGAAUGUCUGCAUUACACAGGCAUGACCAAAAACAAAAAACAAAAAAACCGAUAGGACAUGGUAAAAGUGAUGCUGUGACCUCCAAAGCAAGGGGCAGAAAAUGCCAGAAUUCUCUUGUGGCACAGGAGGUUAAGAAUCUGGUGUUGUCCCUAAAAAAAAAAAAAAAAAAAAAAAGGCGAGAAAAUCUGGUAUUGUCACUGUAGUGGAUUGAGGCAUGUGGAAGUUCCAGGGCCAGGGACUGAACAUUCUUGUGAGAAAUGUAGAUAACAUAAGCUCUACCCUCCUGGCAAGUUUUCAGGUGUACAUACAAUACAACACAAUAUUAAAUACAGGCCCUGUGUUUGCCUUGUAUUACUGAGGCUUUGUACCUUUUGACCAACACUGCAUGUUUGUUCGUUUGGCUUUUUGUUGUUGUUCUCUUGUAUAGUUCCUAUUUCUCUGCUGAGAACGUCUGUUUUUCCAGUCAUUCUAAAGCAUCCCUCUCUCCCUCCUGGUUUACUGUUAUAAUAGCUGCUUUGAAGUCUUUGUCUGAAAAUCCAACAUCUGGGUCUUUUCACGGUUGGCAUCUAUGGACUGUCUCUUGCUUUGGCAAUUGGUUUGGAUGUUCCUCACUGAGUAACUUGGUAUUGUAUCCUGGACAUUUUCAGUAUUAUCUUGUGAGACUCUGGACUCUGUUAAAAGCCUCUGGAGUAUUUAUGUAUUGACUAGUAGCAGGCAAACCUGGUUAGGUUCAUACAGCAUGUUCUGUGUCACCUUCUGUAGGCAGUAAUUCUAAUCUGUUUUAGUUUCAUAGCUUUGCUAUGCUGUUUAAGUCUACCUGGCGCAGGGGUCAGGGUGGGACUUGGGCAGUGGUUUACAUGGUGGGUCAAUACGCCGAGCCUUGUUCACCCUUCUUGAGGGGUCUUCCACACAGGCUCAGCUUGGGGUUAAGCCCAGGACUUCUGUUGUUUCAUAUACAGAAUUAGAGGGUUUCCUUUAUCCAUUUUCUCUUCUCUAGGAUUUUGUCUCUGGCUCGGUGGGGGUGGGAGUGGGGGAAGCAUUUUCUGUUUGUUCUUCUGGUCAGAAAUGUGAAGUUCUCUCGGAGUUUUUUGUUUGUUUGGUUUUGGCUAGGGGUCCAAUCAGAGCUACAGCUGCCAGCCUACACCACAGCCACAGCAAUGCCAGAUCUGAGCCACGUCUGUAACCUACACCGCAGCUCACAGCAACGCCGGAUCCUUAACCCACUGAGCGGGGCCAGGGAUCGAACCUGCAACCUGACGGUUCCUAGUCGGAUUUGUUUCCGCAGCACCACGAUAGGAACUCCUCUCUCAGAGUUCUAACCUCCGGUACCAUGGUAAGAUUCCUCACCACUGGGCUUAGCCCCUCAGGUCAAAGCAUCAAGAGAAAAGAGAACAAUGAGGAUUCAUCCCCACACUACUUACAUUACGGGUCUUUUUUCCAAGUUCUUUUCUCCUGGGGGUGGGUUUUCUCAAGCCGUUUUUCUCAAUAGCUUUGAGAACCACAGAGCCGACUGGGGCUGCCCUGCGACAGGGCCAGGUAGGAGCAAAGAUUAAGUAAAAAUAUUAACAAGGAAUUUUUUCACACUCUCCAAUCCCUAGGGGUCCAUUUUCCUCAUUCUCUGACCAGGACGUUGGGCUUUUUGCUGUCUGUGUCAGCUGUGCACUUUCCUUGCUCAGAGUACCUUGGGUCCAAGCAAGGAGAUACAGGGGAGAAACUGACCAGGAAACUCACCAUUGCUUGCGAGGUGUUCUUCACAUUUUGACUUUUCACUCCAACCUGCUAGUAUGUACUUUGCAGUAUUCUUAAGUGGUUGCUUUUUGUAUUUGUCCAGAGUUUUGUUCUGGGGUUUUUUUUUGGUUGUUUUUUUGCUUCCACCUUGGCAUGUGGAAGUUCCCUGGCCAGGGAUGGAACUCUUGCCACAGCAAAGACCCCAGCUACUGCAGUGACGACGCUGUGUCCUUAACCUGCUGCACCACAGGAGAACUCUUGUCCAGAGUUUUUACUUGUAACCAGUAGGAGGAAGGGGCUUACUCCAGUUUAGCCUUCAUUCUCUUGCUCUCUCUUUUUACUUUUUUUUUUUUUCCCUCUUGAGAUAAUUUUAGACUUACAGAAGUUGCAAAAAUAGUACAGAGUUCCUGUAUGUCCUUCCCUUUUGUCAACAUCUUACAUAACAAUAGACCCCGUAUCAGAACUAAGAAAUUAUAUUUGGUUCAUUAUUAUUGACUGUUUGUGACUAUUAACUAUUUAUUGCUAUUAGCAGAGGUCAUUUGGAUUUCAUCAGUUUGCCUAUUAGUGCCCUUGUUCUGUGCUGGGGUCCGAUGUAGAAAGGAUCCUACAUCACUUUCGGUUGUCGUGUUUCCUUUGUCCCCUCCAAUCCGUGACAGUUCCUCUGUCCUUCCAUCUUUUUCAUGAUUUUUUUUUUUUUUUUUUU